rnacentral:rRNA from 1 species
GAUGAACGCUAGCGACAGGCUUAACACAUGCAAGUCGAGGGGUAACAGGGUAGCAAUACCGCUGACGACCGGCGCACGGGUGAGUAACGCGUAUGCAACCUGCCCCGUACACGGGGAUAGCCUUCCGAAAGGGAGAUUAAUACCCGAUGGAACAAAGUUUUCGCAUGGGAAUUUUGUUAAAAGAUUCAUUGGUACGGGAGGGGCAUGCGUCGGAUUAGAUAGUUGGUAAGGUAACGGCUUACCAAGUCAACGAUCCGGAGGGGAACUGAGAGGUUUAUCCCCCACACUGGUACUGAGACACGGACCAGACUCCUACGGGAGGCAGCAGUGAGGAAUAUUGGUCAAUGGACGAGAGUCCGAACCAGCCAAGUCGCGUGAAGGAAGACGGUAUUAUGUAUUGUAAACUUCUUUUGAAGGGGAGUAAAGAGUGGGACGUGUCCUGCGUUGCAAGUACCCUUCGAAUAAGCAUCGGCUAACUCCGUGCCAGCAGCCGCGGUAAUACGGAGGAUGCGAGCGUUAUCCGGAUUUAUUGGGUUUAAAGGGUGCGUAGGUUGGCUUUCAAGUCAGCGGUGAAAUGUCUCUGCUUAACAGGGAAACUGCCGUUGAAACUGAAGGUCUUGAGUGUAAACGAGGCAGGCGGAAUUCGUAUUGUAGCGGUGAAAUGCAUAGAUAAUACGAAGAACCCCGAUAGCGCAGGCAGCUUGCCAGGCUACAACUGACACUGAAGCACGAAAGUGUGGGUAUCAAACAGGAUUAGAUACCCUGGUAGUCCACACGGUAAACGAUGAUUACUCGCUGUUUGCGAUAUACAGUAAGCGGCUAAGCGAAAGCGUUAAGUAAUCCACCUGGGGAGUACGCCGGCAACGGUGAAACUCAAAGGAAUUGACGGGGGCCCGCACAAGCGGAGGAACAUGUGGUUCAAUUCGAUGAUACGCGAGGAACCUUACCCGGGCUCGAACGGCUAACGCAUAUUUGUGAAAGCAAAUAGUCAGCAAUGACGUUAGUCGAGGUGCUGCAUGGUUGUCGUCAGCUCGUGCCGUGAGGUGUCGGCUUAAGUGCCAUAACGAGCGCAACCCCUUCCGGAAGUUGCCACCGGGUCAAGCCGGGGACUCUGCCGGGACUGCCGCCGCAAGGUGCGAGGAAGGCGGGGAUGACGUCAAAUCAGCACGGCCCUUACGUCCGGGGCUACACACGUGUUACAAUGGGUGGGACAGAAGGCAGCUACUUAGCAAUAAGAUGCGAAUCCCGAAACCCUCUCCCAGUUCGGAUUGGAGUCUGCAACCCGACUCCAUGAAGCCGGAUUCGCUAGUAAUCGCGCAUCAGCCACGGCGCGGUGAAUACGUUCCCGGGCCUUGUACACACCGCCCGUCAAGCCAUGGAAGCCGGGAGUACUUGAAGAACGUAACCGCAAGGAUCGCUCUAGGGUAAUACCGGUAACUGGGGCU